UUUAAGUGCAUUUUCAUCCGUUUACUGUUUCUUCUUAUUCUUCUCUUCUCUCCUCUCUUCUCCGUAUCCUCACAUUUGUUCAAUGCAAUAACAUUGCCAACAAAACAGAGCUUUCGAAUCCCAAUAAUCAUUCUUUAUCACCAUCCUGCACACCAUUAUUUUAUGAGUGGCAGGUCUGGGGUGGUAUGAGGAGUAUAACAUAUUGGCGUACAAGGUCGAUCACGAAUAUGAUUACCUCUUCAAGAUUGUAUUGAUUGGAGAUUCGGGUGUCGGAAUUGAAAGUCCAACACUCUUUCCUGCAGGUUUACGAGGAAUGAGUUUUGUUUCUCUUUCCAGGUUUACGAGGAAUGAGUUUUGUUUGGAGUCCAAGUCCACCAUUGGAGUUGAAUUUGCAACCUAGAGAUUACAGAGUCUAGAUUUAUAUGUAGGCAGAGGGGAAGACAGUGAAAGCACAAAUAUGGGACACGGCAGGUCAGGAGAGGUACCGAUCGAGCCAUUACCAAUGCUUACUACAGAGGUGCUGUUGGUGCUCUAUUGAUCUAUGACGUAGCCAAAAGGCAAACAUUUGACAAUGUGACGAGGUGCAUGGCUCCGCGAACUCAGAGACCAUGCAAACUCAAAUAUUGUCAUAAUGAUGGCCGGUAACAAAUCUGACCUCUAUCAACUGAGAGCUGUCCCAGGAGAAGAUGCUCAACUCUUGGCUGAUAAGGAAGACAAUGAUGGCGCUCCUGACUUUGAAAGCACCAUCAUCCCACACCAAAGACGCAAAGACUAUAUUUGCUUUCUCAAUCAGCCGGCUCUUUUACUGUGAGAACAAAAGAUCGAUUUCUUCUGCCCAAGAGAUGUGAAUGACAGCACACUUGGAUUCACACUGAUUUUGAGUCUUGAUUGAUGGAGCCACCACUUUAGCACUAUAUGUGGAAUUCGACGAUCCAACAUUAGUGACAGUCCUAUGGAAGACUCCAUUGACGAAUUCCAGAUUGAUCCUUUAUAGAAAGAGCAAAUGAAGGAUAGUUCAGGUCAUUGGCUGUUUCAUUAUUAGAUUUUGAUGAGCAUGAGCUAGCCUUGACCCUGGUUAUUUUUUCCAAUAGUUUGUCAUUGUAUUUUUGUGAACACAAAAAAUUUACAUAGUCUUGUUCAUCAAGAUCAUAUACCAAACCAAGAUAUAUAUGGAGCCCUAUAAGGGUUUAGUAGGCCAGCCCGUAUGCAAAUUCAGUACUGUGUGGGCUAGUUUUGGCACUCAUAAGUUUAGCUGCAAAAUAUUGGAAAUACAGAA